GAUGAAGAACGCAGUGAAACGCGAUAUGUAAUGUGAAUUGCAGAAUUCAGUGAAUCAUCGAAUCUUUGAACGCACAUUGCGCCCCUUGGUAUUCCGAGGGGCAUGCCUGUUCGAGCGUCAUUAUAACCCCUCAAGCUCAGCUUGGUGUUGGGGCCUGCUGCACUGGCAGCCCUUAAAAUCAGUGGCGGCGCCAUCUGGCUCUAAGCGUAGUAAUUCUUCUCGCUAUGGAGUCCUGGUGGAUGCUUGCCAUCAACCCCCAAUUUUUCUAUGGUUGACCUCGGAUCAGGUAGGGAUACCCGCUGAACUUAAGCAUAUCAAUAAGCGGAGGA
rnacentral:misc_RNA from 1 species